GGGGGUAUAGCUCAGUGGUAUAGCUCAUGCUUAGCAUGCCUGAGGUCCUGGGUUCAAACCCCAGUACCUCCA
rnacentral:tRNA from 1 species